AGAGUUUGAUCCUGGCUCAGGAUGAACGCUAGCUACAGGCUUAACACAUGCAAGUCGAGGGGCAGCAUGGUCUUAGCUUGCUAAGGCCGAUGGCGACCGGCGCACGGGUGAGUAACACGUAUCCAACCUGCCGUCUACUCUUGGACAGCCUUCUGAAAGGAAGAUUAAUACAAGAUGGCAUCAUGAGUCCGCAUGUUCACAUGAUUAAAGGUAUUCCGGUAGACGAUGGGGAUGCGUUCCAUUAGGUAGUAGGCGGGGUAACGGCCCACCUAGUCUUCGAUGGAUAGGGGUUCUGAGAGGAAGGUCCCCCACAUUGGAACUGAGACACGGUCCAAACUCCUACGGGAGGCAGCAGUGAGGAAUAUUGGUCAAUGGGCGAGAGCCUGAACCAGCCAAGUAGCGUGAAGGAUGACUGCCCUAUGGGUUGUAAACUUCUUUUAUAAAGGAAUAAAGUCGGGUAUGGAUACCCGUUUGCAUGUACUUUAUGAAUAAGGAUCGGCUAACUCCGUGCCAGCAGCCGCGGUAAUACGGAGGAUCCGAGCGUUAUCCGGAUUUAUUGGGUUUAAAGGGAGCGUAGAUGGAUGUUUAAGUCAGUUGUGAAAGUUUGCGGCUCAACCGUAAAAUUGCAGUUGAUACUGGAUAUCUUGAGUGCAGUUGAGGCAGGCGGAAUUCGUGGUGUAGCGGUGAAAUGCUUAGAUAUCACGAAGAACUCCGAUUGCGAAGGCAGCCUGCUAAGCUGCAACUGACAUUGAGGCUCGAAAGUGUGGGUAUCAAACAGGAUUAGAUACCCUGGUAGUCCACACGGUAAACGAUGAAUACUCGCUGUUUGCGAUAUACUGCAAGCGGCCAAGCGAAAGCGUUAAGUAUUCCACCUGGGGAGUACGCCGGCAACGGUGAAACUCAAAGGAAUUGACGGGGGCCCGCACAAGCGGAGGAACAUGUGGUUUAAUUCGAUGAUACGCGAGGAACCUUACCCGGGCUUAAAUUGCAGAUGAAUUACGGUGAAAGCCGUAAGCCGCAAGGCAUCUGUGAAGGUGCUGCAUGGUUGUCGUCAGCUCGUGCCGUGAGGUGUCGGCUUAAGUGCCAUAACGAGCGCAACCCUUGUUGUCAGUUACUAACAGGUUCUGCUGAGGACUCUGACAAGACUGCCAUCGUAAGAUGUGAGGAAGGUGGGGAUGACGUCAAAUCAGCACGGCCCUUACGUCCGGGGCUACACACGUGUUACAAUGGGGGGUACAGAGGGCCGCUACCACGCGAGUGGAUGCCAAUCCCAAAAACCUCUCUCAGUUCGGACUGGAGUCUGCAACCCGACUCCACGAAGCUGGAUUCGCUAGUAAUCGCGCAUCAGCCACGGCGCGGUGAAUACGUUCCCGGGCCUUGUACACACCGCCCGUCAAGCCAUGGGAGCCGGGGGUACCUGAAGUGCGUAACCGCGAGGAGCGCCCUAGGGUAAAACUGGUGACUGGGGCUAAGUCGUAACAAGGUAGCCG
rnacentral:rRNA from 1 species